rnacentral:ncRNA from 19 species
UAUCGUAGGCGCGCGUUUGGUGCCCGCACAUGCAUUCGCGUGUGCAGUUAAACGGGAAACAGGCCGCGCUUCACGCGCUCAACCUGUGCUGUCCCCGCAACGGUAAGCGACCUGCGGAGCAAUGUUGAGUUGUCUUGCGCCGCGCAUGCGUUUUUUCGAUGCCACUGUCCUGCGCAUUCCAGCGAAUGCGGACGGGAAGGCAAAGCGCAUGAGGCCGCCAGCCCGGAUAUCGGCCAGACGCGGAGGCGGCGCA